GCGGUGGAGCAUGUGGUUUAAUUCGAAGCAACGCGAAGAACCUUACCAGGUCUUGACAUCCCGAUGCUAUUUCUAGAGAUAGAAAGUUACUUCGGUACAUCGGUGACAGGUGGUGCAUGGUUGUCGUCAGCUCGUGUCGUGAGAUGUUGGGUUAAGUCCCGCAACGAGCGCAACCCCUAUUGUUAGUUGCCAUCAUUCAGUUGGGCACUCUAGCGAGACUGCCGGUAAUAAACCGGAGGAAGGUGGGGAUGACGUCAAGUCCUCAUGGCCUUUAUGCCUAGGGCUACACACGUGCUACAAUGGGCGGUACAAAGGGUUGCAAUCCCGCGAGGGGGAGCCAAUCCCAAAAAGCCGUUCUCAGUUCGGAUUGGAGUCUGCAACUCGACUCCAUGAAGUUGGAAUCGCUAGUAAUCGUGGAUCAGCAUGCCACGGUGAAUACGUUCCCGGGCCUU
rnacentral:rRNA from 1 species